rnacentral:rRNA from 1 species
AUUGAACGCUGGCGGCAUGCCUUACACAUGCAAGUCGAACGGCAGCAUGGAGAGCUUGCUCUCUGAUGGCGAGUGGCGAACGGGUGAGUAAUGCAUCGGAACGUACCGUGUAAUGGGGGAUAACGUAGCGAAAGUCACGCUAAUACCGCAUACGACCUGAGGGUGAAAGCAGGGGAUCGCAAGACCUUGCGUUAUACGAGCGGCCGUUGUCAGAUUAGCUAGUUGGUGAGGUAAAGGCUCACCAAGGCGACGAUCUGUAGCGGGUCUGAGAGGAUGAGCCGCCACACUGGGACUGAGACACGGCCCAGACUCCUACGGGAGGCAGCAGUGGGGAAUUUUGGACAAUGGGGGCAACCCUGAUCCAGCCAUGCCGCGUGAGUGAAGAAGGCCUUCGGGUUGUAAAGCUCUUUCGGCCGGGAAGAAAUCGCACAGGCUAAUACUCUGUGUGGAUGACGGUACCGGCAUAAGAAGCACCGGCUAACUACGUGCCAGCAGCCGCAGUAA